rnacentral:snRNA from 1 species
GUGCUCGCUUCAGCAGCACAUAUACUGAAAUUGGAAUGAUACAGAGAAGAUUAGCAUGGCCCCUGUGCAAGGAUGACAUGCAAAUUCGUGAAGCGUGAAAAUAAAAA